rnacentral:misc_RNA from 1 species
AACGCAAGUUGCGGUUUUCUUUCGAAAACCAUGUUUGCCUGAGGGUUGUUUCACACAAAUUGAGGCGUGUCAUUUCCCAUAAAAAAGAGAUGACACCCUUUAAAUGAUUUUGAAUUUCCCCUCCCGAUCUUUUGUGACUUGAAGAAAAGUUAAUUUUUUUUCAAGAAACGAAAUCUCUCCAUUUUUUUCUUUUACCUAGAAAACAAAGAAAAGGAGCUCAUUGAGUACCUUCCAAAAAAAAAAAAAUUAAUUAAUAACGCAACCUCAGAUCAAGCAAGACUACCCGCUGAACUUAA